rnacentral:lncRNA from 1 species
AUUUUAACAAAAAAGACUUCAACACAAAUCGGUUUCCUUGGAAACCGGCAAUUUUGUGCAUAGAACAUAUAAUACGUUUUUUGAAUUGGGAACAGUGCACGUGAGCCUUAAGGGGGUGGGGAUGUCCUUUCCGUAGAAGUCGUCCCCUGGGGUCAUUCCGCAUUUCUUAUAGGGGCGUCCUUGGGAGCCCGCGAUUUUCGUGCGCGCAAUAUGGGAUGUUUUGUGGUGUGAAUGAUAUUCGGAAAUAUGUAGGGGGGGGUCGUCUCCAUACAAAUGUACUGGGCUUUCCGUAUAAGUGUGCCAUUGGUGUUGCGACUGGGGCCGGCGGUGGCGGUGCGAAUUCCCUUUGCAUGAGUGCUGCAUGGUUGCCGUAUUUUUGCGCUUCUGCUUUUCCGGUGGGUGCUUCCAGGCGGGUGGUGCUUCUGCGGCCGUG